AUUCCUUCUAUGGAGACAGAUUGAGAGUUGGGGCUGCUCAGUCUGGAGAAGAGAAGGCUCUAAGGAGAUCUUAUUUUGGCUUUCCAAUAUCUCAGGGGGACAUACAAGCAAGCUGGCUUUUGCCCCAGGAAGGUACCCAAACUGCUCUGCUUUCAGCACCUGUAAACUCUUAAAUUGGCUGCUAAUGGACUGGGUGGAGCCUGUUUGGAGUUCAGCAGUGUCCAUUUUCUUCCUGAGAGGCUGUGCUCUCCAGGGCAGCUUGCCCAGCACUGGGCCUGUUCUGGGACCUCAUACUUUGUCCAAGGGGAUAGCUGCAUCACCUUGACCUCACACUCCUGCAGGAGCACAACUGAAUUCAUAACUUACUCCAGAGGGUUUAUUAGUUGAUGCUUAAUAGAGCUCAUGCAACAUAAAUGGAAUAAAAGAGUAUAUGGUUGCUGCUGUCUGUU